UGCCAUAACAAAAGGACACCGGCAUCCAAUCAGAAUUGAGGAAGUUGUGGGCGGGUCCAGGAAUCGCAACACCCAAUGACAGUACAGGAGCUAAACUAAGCGUGUGAAAGCCAACCUGAGACAAGCCGCUCUUCAGUUUCAGCAGGACCCUGAAAAUGAGGCCAGGAAGGGAGUGUGGCGAAUUCUGUCAGCUGUCAGGCAGGAGGUUAUUGAAUUCAUUGGAGAACGAGUGUCAUGCUGAAUUGUUGCUUUUUCUUCUGCUAAUUCAGUCCAGUAUUCUUCAGUGACCUCUGAGUGCAAGGUCUGGGCAAGAGACUUGAGAAGAAACUUGGACUAUGAAUCAACCAUCUGUAAGGAACUCACCGCUUAGGACACAAGGGAAGAGAUAAGCAUACGAAAGUUAGGGAAGGACUCAAAACAUGAGAAGAAAGGAAGCUGGAAUCCUGAAUUAUGAUCACAGGCCUGCACCUGUGAGGAAAUUUUCAAGCUGAAAUGGAAGAAACUACUUAGAGAGCUGUGGCUACCAUUCCUUGUUCUGUAGAGUACCAAGAAUGUACAACAGGGCUACAACAGAAGGAAAAUAUAUGAAAAUGUUACGACAGCUCUCAUGGACUUCCAGCAGUCUUCUAUUGUAGCAGAAUACAUGGCCGUCUCCUGGUAAAGCAAUGAUUGCACAAGAAGGUCAGUUGUACCCUUGAAAGCCAGCCAUGUGUUCGGGCUGCUGUGGUGAGGUGGGAGUGCCUUUCCUGUGGUAUCUGUGGUACAUCAUGUAGAGGAAGUGCAGUGUAUCCACCAGUUUUACAAAUGUCUUUGAUAAUGUGAGUUGACUUAAACAAGAUCUGUUAUUGACUUGAUUAAAGAUCAGUGGGAUUCCCUGAAGAUUCUGCCAGGUAUCCACAGGUAUUCCCCACAGCAAGUUCACACCACAAAUAGAUUGAGAGUAGUUUGAAUAUUUAUUUGUUCCAAAGUACAUCAAGAAACCUACAUUGCAAGGUCUUAUGGAGGUACUUCCAACUUCACAAUGCAUAGGCCAGUCUCUCUUAAAGCCAUGUAUGAGUUGUUACAUGGUGAUUGCUAAGCCACCCUACUUGAAACAACCUCCAAUGGAUUUUGGACCAUCUUACAAAGUUAUAAUACUACUGAGGGUAUGAAAAGUCAAAAAGAUGACCACAAUUAAGUGCUAACCUAUGCAAUGAAAAUCUUAUUAGCAGCCAAAAAAAUUUUACCACUAAAAUAUAAGGAAAAAGUCCUCCAUUGUAUUUUUCUUCUCAGAGAGCAGUGAUGUUCUAAAAUAUCAAAGUGAUAGAAAAAUAAAGCAAAAAAAAAAUCAAAUUAUCUUGGUGAAGCUGGCACCCCUUUGGCAUCUGGUUCUAGACCAGAGUAAAUCAAAAUCUACAGACCAGUGCCAGAAAUUUCACAGCCAACUUCUGGAGUCAGCUCACAAAACUCAUCUACCAGAACAGUAGAGGGUAACACAGAUUCACCAACAUGCCUGGAAUGCAGCCAGCCCACCAGGACUGAAGGGACAUUGGCUGGGCUGACCAAGUGUCAAGAACGAAUGUCAACAGGAUGCUUUUGAUGUUGCCCUGUGAUGAGCUGAGGUGGGACAACUCCAAAGAGUAGGCCAAAGGACUGCUUUCAAGACUUGCUCAAGCACGACUUUUGUGAGGACUCCUAGCAGCUUGGCAGAGGGAGCAACGGACCUUGCUGGCCCGAAUCAAGGAGAAAUGGAGCCAACUCAUCUGAGCAGAGGCACGUGACAGCUGGCUCCGUGAGAGUGCCCAUCUGGAAAGAGUGACUGGCCCUAUGAACAAGGAUUGGAAGCAUAAGCCACAGGUUAGUCCUUGACUUUAUGCAACAAACAUAGAAGCAGCAGCCAAUGGGUAAUGAGUGUGGUGUGGUGGUCUGGCACCCAGGUUCUAGAAUUAGACUGCCUGAGUUCACACCCUGCCUCCAUCAUUGACUAGCUGGGUGACACUAGGACAGUCUCUUAACCUCUCCAAGUUCAUUUCUUUCUGGGACUAAUGAUUGUGCCUACCUCAAGAGAGAAUUCAAUGAUUUCAUGUGUUACCUGUUAGAACAGUGCCUAGCAUAAAAUAAGUAGGUACUCAAUAAAUGUUACCUACAGUAUUAGUCUUUAUGGCUCCUCCUAGUAAACUGGAGCUCAUAUAUUACAGUUUGCUAUUAACAGGUCUGUGUUCACGUUUCUGCCAUUUACUACUAAACCCAAAGGUUAAAUUAUUAAGAAUUUUUAAUAUCAACCCCUUCCUUUGUCAAAUGCAAAUAAUACUACUUCAUGGGGUUUACGGAGAUUCAUGAAAUAAUAGGCAUAAAACACCAACAAUAGGGCCUGGCAUGCUGUUUGGGGCUCAAUACAUGGUAGUUAUUCUUAUCGGGCCCUGAUGGCCUAGGGCCUGGCAGAGCUCCCCAUAGAAGUUUCCAUGAUGGGAGAAAUGCUCCAUGUCUGUGGUGCUCGACAUGGUAGCCAUGAGCCACUUGCGGCUGUUGAGACUUGAAAGACAGCUCGUGCAACUGAACAACUAAAUCUUUUAUUUCAUUUAAUUAAAAUAGCCACAUAUGGCUUGUGGCUAAUGUAUUGAGCAGCACAGGCCGGGUUGCUCAGGUCUCGUCUUUUCUAUACUGUCAAGUCCAUCGUGCUGCCCAUUUGCACCUGCCUAUACAAGGGUUGGACAAGAAAGAAGAGAGAAUUUAACAUCCAACUUUAGCAGGUUGGUAUUGUGGCAUAAUAGAAAGAAGAAAAGUCAGUGAGUCUAUGGGGACCAACCCAUUCCAGCUCUGCCUGCUGUUCUUGGGCAAGUCACUUAACCCUCUCUUCAGAAGGGAAAGAGUUGAUUCUGACAUGACUUAAAGCUCCCACUCAUCACAUGAGCACCAAGAGGAGAACCGAAGAAAUAGCACAAAAACUCAGAUUAUUUCUUAAGUGCUAUGGGCUGCAUUUAGCUGUGUUUAGUGUCUCCCAGAUUUAUAGGUGGUAUAUUUGUUAGUAUAUAAACUAAUAUAAGUGAAUAAGCAGGGUUGAGAAAGAAAUUGAGGCCAAAGAAAUUAACCUUGGGGCAAAGAAAAAUGACUUUGAUUAAAAAUAUUUAUAUAUAAUGUUUUCUAUAACAGAUAUAUAUAUAUAUAUAUAUAUAUAUAUAUAUAUAUAUAUAUCCUAUGCAUGUUAUAUGCACUCCUGCCAUAUCCUUAGGCAGAUAGACAGCUUUCCAGCCCUGUAGGUGAGAGUGGAAAGUUCUGGGGAAUGUUUGUUUGGUAAAGACUUUGGAUACACAAACCCGUAAUCUGAUUUACUGUCUUCAGCUGAAUACAAAGUGGAAAGGGCGUUCUGCAAGACAGGUCUCUUAGAAUCCACCUGGGGAGAAGGAGCACAGGGCGAGGAAGCUGGAGGCUCCUGUUCCUUCUCUGGCUCUGUGGCUAACCAGCUGGGUGAGCACACUCAAUCUGGCUAACUUCUCUGGGCCCCAGUUAAAUCAUCUGUGUGCUGUAUCGGUUGGAAACCUAUGAUUAUGCUUAGAGCCCUAGAAAUCUCCAAGAUGCCUUUCUUUGCCAGGAGCUAAGAGUGUGAGAAAUUAGAGCAGCUAAACCAGGUAACAAUCCCUUUCCUCAAAACACACAUGUACCCAUAACUUUUAAUCUGCUGAAGACUAUUGGAUGAGACUCCUCUGUUCCUAUCUGAGACAACUGCUUAUGAACUAUAGGUGAUAGGGUUCCCCUUGGUCCCCUUGGUUCUAAGCAUUAUAGAAGCAUUAGCCUGGACAGAAUGCAAAGAGUUUUCAAGAUGUUUUUUAAAGAGACAGAGCACAGUAAUUCCUCAAACUAUCAGGGUGGUGGCUCUGUGUGUGUGUGUGUGUGUGUGUGUGUGUGUAUUCGCGCACGCGCGUGCAUGGGCACGUGCGCGCAUACAGGCCAAGUGAGAAGCCUCACCACCUGCUUCCAAAAAUGGUGAAAUAGAAUACACACAGUUGUCAUCUGGGACAAGCUGGUUUUUAGCAAGAAAAAACAACAGUGACGUUCAGAAUAGGAAAACCAGUGGCUAAAGAAAAAAACUAUCCAGGAUAAGUGAACUUUUUUAUCUAGCUGACUUUAAGCCUUCUUUCCUCCACCACUUUUACAGUUUCUAAGUCCACAAGUUGUUUUGAAACUUGGCCCUCCUCCCCGCUCCUGUCCCAAGGUUGCUGGGUGAUAAAUAGCUCUGGCUGCUCUCUCCCCCAUUUCUUCUCACAUUCCUCCCUAGCCACGUCGAUGCUUUCUUGAGAGGAGGGUGGGAGUCUCUACUCACCCUUCCACCUGCCUGAACCCUGGGUCUGACAACAGGAAGUUCUGGUUUUAGAGGAUACCUGAGGAGUGAUUCCUAUAGACACACACACACACACACACACACACACACCCCUUUCUCGGACCUGAAGUCCCCUGGAGGACCUUGAAUCCUAAUAACGUCCGGAUGAAAGCGAAGGCUGUAAAGCAAACCAAGUCCGCUUUGCCAUGUUAAGUCCUGCUGCCGCUCGGCUUUGCAGAGUCCUCUGGCUCCCAGGUUGGUACAGUGGACACGAGAACAGUCUCCCCUGUGGUGUCUACUCCCUGGUGGCAGCCUGUCCUGCUGACCUCCAUGCUCAGGAGAGUCCUUCUCCUCUACUGGGGCUCUUAAGACCAAAUUUAUGGCCCCUUUAUUAGGUUGGCAGGUGCUUUAAGUGAGAGAGGAAAGACGUGGCCUGAUUUGCAUAUAGUUUCAGUUUAGGAAACGAGGAAGUGGAAGAAUUUAUCCUCGGUGGUUCUCUGCUAAAAGGUUGCAAAAUUCUUCAGCCACCAUUGAGAAGAAAUCCUCUCCUUGCUUGAAGCCAGAUUUCUGGUACCUUGAGGCUAGAAGAGAUUUUUAGAUGGUGAAAACUCCUAUUGGUGAGGGGUGGGGGGGUGCCUAGAGAGGGAGGUUAAAUAACAGGCCCAGAAGAUGGCACGUGGCAAAGCAGUCCCAGCGCUGAAGGUGGGGUCCACUGAUUUCUCCAGCUCUCAACACACAUGCUCACGCUCUGUCUCUGUCUCUGUCUCUCUCUCCCCCUUGAUCAUCUUCAAAAGGGACAGUCUUUGGAGGGCCUAGGAAAAAAACAGCAAAUCUCUGAAAGAGAUGAAGAUUGGCAACUUGUCCACCAGCUUCCCUCCCUUUCUUCCUUCCAGCCUUCCUUCCUUCCCCCCUCCCCCACUUCCUUCCUUUCUUCCUUUCCUUCUUUCUUUCUUUUAGGAUAUUCAGUACUAUGACUUUACCUAGAAAAUAGGAAAAAAAAAAGAGAGAGAAGACAAUCAGAUAUCAAUUUAAACAAACAAAGCAAAUAAGGAAAACUGCUGUUUAAAGAGAAGGACUUGGGUGUGUGUGUCUCUGUGUGUGUGUGUCUGUGUCCAGGGCCCUGUGUCUCUUUGGAGCAAGCUAAAUAAAAAUAUAAGUGGCCUUCCCAUUAAGUGAAACCUAUAGAACAAGGCCUUCUUUACCUAUUCCCGUCCUUAAAAACCAUGAAAGUCAGUGCGGGGGCAUAUGAUUCAGUCCGCCGGGACUCUGCUCUGCCCUUUAUUCUGCGGGAUCAUCCCAUCUCCUUUAGGCUUCUCUCAGCCCUCCCCAGGCCUUGCCAAGUCGUCUCUCUUCCAUUAUUAGUCAUUCUAAUAAACACUUCUAAUAAACACAGAUCCAGGAUGGUACUUGUGGCUCCUCUGCUGCCUCUCGGAAAGACUGAUACCUGCAUUAACUUUGUCAUCGGUCCUGAAGAAACCCAGCUGAGAUCUCUAAUAUACUCUGUUGCAAGUGGCAAUAUAAUGGACAUACUUAGUGUACGUUCUCUUGUUAAAUGGAAUCUGUUGCCUAAGUGAACUGAAAAUGCUUAAUUAUUAAUAAGUCCCCCAGGGAUUGAUGACAUUUGGGAUGAUUUUAUCAUGCUGUAGAUAUUUCACAACAUAAUGCAUAUGGUGGGAUCUAAUUCAGCUUCUUUCAUUUAAAAGAACAUUCCCUCCCAAUUCAUUUUGACUUCGAUGCCACGUGGAUUCAUUUCUGAACAUCCAGCCCCUCUCGGAGGUGGAGGGAAGUGUCUAAGGGAUGGGACCGAAGCUGGGGCAGGGCAGGGGAGGCCAGGAAGAGGAACCAGGAACUGCCUCUUGGGAGUUGGAAUUGGUUUGGAGUAGACUCCAAAUGAGAGGCUUCUGUUCAGGUAGAGGCAGUGUGUUUCCAGAUGGAAGUUUCUGGAAGGAUCACAGGUGUAGGGAUCACAGGACUAGGUGGGUGAUGCAAGGCUUCCAGUUUUUCACCAAUUUGCUGUGUGACUCUGAACAAAUUACUUAACCUUUCAGAGACAGGGUUUUCCCAUAUAUUUGGGAGGGUUAGUUACAUGCCCCUUAGUGAAUUUACUGAAUGUGAACAUACUUCCAACAAUUAAAAAGCACUUUAUAAGGAAUAUAUUUGAAGAUGAGGAAGAAAGAAAUAGCAUUUCCUAAGCACCCUCUAAGUUAUGUUCCACAUUUUUAUAAAUGUAAAGUAGAUUAGUCUUAGCAAAAAAGAAAAGGUAGAGAUGGGCCUGAUUGUCCCAUUUACAGAAGAGAAAGUAGUGGUGGACCAGGUGAACAACCUAGAGAUAAGGUAUGUAUCUGAGUGCACAAUAUGUACAAGGAAAAUAGGUCAUAACCUUAAUUUUUAAGUAGAAAUAUUCAGUCAACCUAAGCCUUUGGUUGACUUCUGUGUGGUGAUAUGCAUUAUCACAACAUGUGAACAUUCCCAUGAAAUUUUAAUUAUUUUGUCAUCAACUUAUUUCUCUGCACAUUUUUGAUGUUAAGGAAGGAAAAAUCUCUCAGUGUCAGAAAUAGGUUAUUAAAUAAAGUAAGCCUGCAGGAGGUCCUGCCAUUAGAUUUAUAUGAUCUUGAUCUGUUAGUGCCGGGCAGACCGGUCCUGUGGAGCGUUCCACUCACUACCUCCUUGUUUCUGGCACAUCAUUGUGAGUCUCUGCCUCUGGCGGUAAGGCUGGUCUCUCCUCCGUUUCUGUUCAGACCUCGGGCUGUGCCGGCAAUGGUGGAGAUCCCAUUUGCAUUCAGGUGCUUUGCACACUGGGGGUUCUGGUUUGCCAUGUUCUGCCUGGAGAUGGAGUUAUUGAUGGCUGUUUAUCUGAGAGACAAAGUGGAGCAGGGCUCAGAGCAGGAGACCAGAAGCCAGUCCAUCACCUGCUCGCUCGCUGACCUCACUUCACCUCUUCAUGCUUCAGUUUCUCCAUCUGUUGGUGGAAAGAGUGAUACAUGAUACCUGGCUCUCAGAGUGUCAGGAACAUCUUUGUAAAACACUGGGAGAUGCUACAAGUGACUCUUUUGACUUCAUGCUUCCCUUUAUGUGGUCAAAUAAAACCCCAUCCGAUGGGCGAAAAAUUGCAGACCGCAUGUAGUUUUUCAAUAAGAAGCUAGUCUUAUACCUGAAGAAGUAAUUGCAUUUCUUUAUUGAUCAGUGGAUGGUGUACCAUGAAACCCAUGUCAAUGGCAUGACCUAAAUAUUUGUUUAAAUAAUAAAUCAAUAAGCCUAAGCAUGUGCAGGAUACACGCAUGGCUGCUAUUAUUUAUACUAGUUUACUUUCCUCCUUCCAAAUGCAUUUCCACUACUUUUAAUAUUCAGAGUGUGCUUGUUCUUACCACACAUACACACACACGCGUGCGUGCAUGCACACACAUGGUAGGAUAGCAGCAAGAUGGUAUCAUCACUCCUAUUUUAUAGAUGAGAAAACUUAAACCGGGAGAAGUAAAUGGAUCGUCAAGUCCACAUGGACAAUUAGGGGCAGAGUUAGGCAAAUAUAAGUCUCCUGUCUCAAAUUCUGGUGCUCAGCCUUCUCAGCCUCAUUUUUUUUAAUCAUCCUGGAGACUGGACUUUUUUCUUCUCUGUUCUUGUACAUCUUUUGCUCCCCACUUACUGAUGUAACAGGGCUGUGGGUACCUUCUCCCACCCCUUCUCUGGGAACAGAGCCUUCCAAAGCAACGCAUUCCUCCCGUCCUCCAGCAAGGUCUGCAGUGAAGUGAGAGCUCAGACAUGCCUGCUUGUUAAGCUGGUUCCUCCUUGCAAGCCUGAAGAAAAACUUGCCCCAGAUCACAUUGCCCCGUCCCCGAGACCUCCCAACUGCUCUAAGUGGAGGAGCCAGUCAAGCUGCACAAGUCAGCUUUGGGCUGAAAGAGCCUGGUGGUGAUGCUCUCACAGACGCAUUCGCUUUGUAUGUGCUUCUCAAGUGUAUCCAGGCUUAAGAAUCAGAAGCGAAAGCGUGGGCUGCACACCAAAAGAGCACUUUAAGCUGGUGUUUUGUUUUGUUGUUUUUUUUUUUUUUCCCUGUGAGGAAUUGAAUUGCAAAGAUGAUCAGAGACUGACGAAGAAACUGAGAAAAGCUGCAGCUGAUGAGACACCAACUCCAUUGUUGACACACAUUUAAGAGUGACUAGUUGUCUGCCUGCCCUUCGCCCAUCCAGGUUGCUUUGAAAUUCCUUCCCAGGAAGCACC